rnacentral:rRNA from 1 species
UACGAAGGGUGCAAGCGUUACUCGGAAUUACUGGGCGUAAAGCGUGCGUAGGUGGUUUGUUAAGUCUGUUGUGAAAGCCCCGGGCUCAACCUGGGAAUGGCAAUGGAUACUGGCAAGCUAGAGUGCGGUAGAGGGUAGUGGAAUUCCCGGUGUAGCGGUGAAAUGCGUAGAGAUCGGGAGGAACACCUGUGGCGAAGGCGGCUUUCUGGGC